UACAGAGGUCUCAAGCGUUGUUCGGAUUCAUUGGGCGUAAAGGGUGCGUAGGCGGCGCGGUAAGUCGGGUGUGAAAUCUCGGGGCUUAACUCCGAAACUGCAUUCGAUACUACCGUGCUUGAGGACUGGAGAGGAGACUGGAAUUUACGGUGUAGCGGUGAAAUGCGUAGAUAUCGUAAGGAAGACCAGUGGCGAAGGCGG
rnacentral:rRNA from 1 species